UGUAUAUUCAGUUUGGUCAGAAGUCUGCAACGCCUAGAAGGAAGCAUCUCAUUGUAAGACCAUAUAAAGUACAUAUAUAUGUUCUUGAUCAGCACGAGGUCAAAUAGCCAUGUCUGGGAAUGGCGCUUAAAAAUUUGGUUUUAAAUUAUUACAGAUUCCUAUAGUGAUGAUUGAAGAUGAUUGAUAUACGAUUUAUAUACCCUUGCUCUGAAGUUAAACCAUGACAAAUAAUAUAUGUAAGAAGGCAAGUUCACUGGCUACUGCAACGAAGUAAACAACUUACACUGUCUUUUCGUCUGAUUAACAUCAGGUUUUAGUUUUGCUGACAUUACUUAGCAAUGUCUGGAUCUAUUGUAAGAAAAGUAGACUUUACAAUCUGACUUUAGUGCUAUAAACUCAAAUUGUACCGAAAUCAUAUUGCAUCUGGUAUUGUAAAUGGCAUAUGCUAUUUUGUGGUAUA